rnacentral:rRNA from 1 species
GACGAACGCUGGCGGCGUGCCUAAUACAUGCAAGUAGAACGAAGUUGCGAACGGGUGAGUAACGCGUAGGUAACUGCCUCAUAGCGGGGGAUAACUAUUGGAAACGAUAGCUAAUACCGCAUACUGUGAGAUGGACCUGCGUUGUAUUAGCUAGUUGGUGAGGUAAAGGCUCACCAAGGCGACGAUACAUAGCCGACCUGAGAGGGUGGUCGGCCACACUGGGACUGAGGCCAGGCCCAGGAUCCUAAGGGAGGCAAGAGGAGGGAAUUUUCGGCAAUUGGCGGAAGUCUGGCCGCGCAACUCCGCGUGAGUGAAGGAGGUUUUCGGAUCGUAAAGCUAUGUUGUUAGAGAAGCGGUAACUACCCAGAAAGGGACGGCUAACUACGUGCCAGCAGCCGCGGUAAUAC